rfam:Desulfuromonadales bacterium GWD2_54_10 gwd2_scaffold_6512, whole genome shotgun sequence.
UGCCAAGAACCAUGAGGAAUGUCUCCCCUUGUGGAUCGGGCGAAAUUCAUGACGAAGGAG